CUAUCAGCUUUCGACGGUAGGGUAUUGGCCUACCGUGGCAGUGACGGGUAACGGGGAAUUAGGGUUCGAUUCCGGAGAGGGAGCCUGAGAAACGGCUACCACAUCUAAGGAAGGCAGCAGGCGCGCAAAUUACCCAAUGAAAACAGUUUCGAGGUAGUGACGAGAAAUAACAAUACAGGGCAUUUUAUGCUCUGUAAUUGGAAUGAUGGGAAUCUAAAACCCUUUCAGAGUAACAAUUGGAGGGCAAGUCUGGUGCCAGCAGCCGCGGUAAUUCCAGCUCCAAUAGCGUAUAUUAGAGUUGUUGCAGUUAAAAAGCUCGUAGUUGGAUUUCUGUCGUGGUCUUCCGGUUUCGCCCGUACGGGUGUUGACUUGGUUAGCCCUCGGCAUUCUUCCGGUCCCUUCCCCGCUUCAUUGCGUGGUAGGUUCCUCCGGAACUUUUACUUUGAGAAAAAUAGAGUGUUUCAAGCAGGCUUUCGCCUUGAAUACUUCAGCAUGGAAUAAUAAGAUAGGACUUUGGUUCUAUUUUGUUGGUUUCUAGGACUAAAGUAAUGAUUAAUAGGGACAGUUGGGGGCAUUCGUAUUUAACUGUCAGAGGUGAAAUUCUUAGAUUU
rnacentral:rRNA from 1 species